UCAAAAAAUAAAUGAGUCCUGGGGUUAUAACACACAACAUGAGGACUAUAGUUAACAACACUGCAUUACAUAAUGAAAGUUGCUAAAAGAGUAGAUCUUAGAAGUGCUCAAGAAAAAAAAUUCUCAGACUAUCCAGAGUGAUGGAUUUUAACUAAGUCGACUUAUCAUAGUGAUCAUUUCAUAAAAUAUUCAAAUACCAAAUCAUUAUAUACCUGAAACUGUUAUACGUCAAUGAUAUAUCCAUUUUAAAAUUGCUUUCCACUAUACCCCAUUUCUCAUAGCACAUAACUGAGAUAAUUCACAUCCGGAGAAGGCGAUCAACGUAUCUGGUCAAGUUUGGGGAGAGGGUUUCCUCUUUAGGAAAGUGUGAGCAAAAACAAACACAACCUCGGUCUGUUUCUGAGCAGUACAGGCAUCACGAAGACACACCUUAGUGGCGGUUAUUUUUCGCACCCAACCGGAAGAGAAUCAGCUACGUGGAGCUCAGCGGCACUUUCCACAAGGGACAGAGAAUGAAAAGGGAGAGGAAGCAACAUUCCUGGUGAUGAAGGUUCACCAGGAACAACGUUUGGAACCUGCAGCUGCUCUGGGGUCUAAGCAGACUGCAGCCCUUCCCCUCCUCCCGAGCUGCAGAUGUGCCGGCCUUGGCAGGAACCACCGCAGGGGAACUCAGGAGUCUCUCCAGGCCCAGGAGAAGCGACCCAACAGCAGGAAAAGCAAAACGGGAGCCCAAAUGAAAAAGAGCAGAAAGAGCUUAGUAAAGACUCUGGGCGAAAGGAAUUUCCUGGCAGUCCAAGCUU